AUGCACGUGUCGGAUUACUGGGCGUAAGAGCUCGUAGGUGGUUUGUCGCGUCGUCUGUGAAAUUCCGGGGCUUAACUCCGGGCGUGCAGGCGAUACGGGCAUAACUUGAGUACUGUAGGGGAGACUGGAAUUCCUGGUGUAGCGGUGAAAUGCGCAGAUAUCAGGAGGAACACCGGUGGCGAAGGCGGGUCUCUGGGCAGUAACUGACGCUGAGGAGCGAAAGCAUGGGGAGCGAACAGGAUUAGAUACCCUGGUAGUCCAUGCCGUAAACGGUGGGCGCUAGGUGUGGGUUUCCUUCCACGGGAUCCGUGCCGUAGCUAACGCAUUAAGCGCCCCGCCUGGGGAGUACGGCCGCAAGGCUAAAACUCAAAGGAAUUGACGGGGGCCCGCACAAGCGGCGGAGCAUGUGGAUUAAUUCGAUGCAACGCGAAGAACCUUACCUGGGCUUGACAUAUACAGGAUCGCGCCAGAGAUGGUGUUUCCCUUGUGGCUUGUAUACAGGUGGUGCAUGGUUGUCGUCAGCUCGUGUCGUGAGAUGUUGGGUUAAGUCCCGCAACGAGCGCAACCCUUGUCUUAUGUUGCCAGCACGUUGUGGUGGGGACUCGUAAGAAACUGCCGGGGUUAACUCGGAGGAAGGUGGGGAUGACGUCAAAUCAUCAUGCCCCUUAUGUCCAGGGCUUCACACAUGCUACAAUGGUCGGUACAGUGGGUUGCCAGUCCGUGAGGGCGAGCUAAUCCCGCAAAGCCGGUCUCAGUUCGGAUCGGGGUCUGCAACUCGACCCCGUGAAGUCGGAGUCGCUAGUAAUCGCAGAUCAGCAACGCUGCGUGAAUUCCCUCCCGCGCGCGCGCUAUAUAUA
rnacentral:rRNA from 1 species